CCUCACCUAUCAGAUCCCUCCUCUGCCAGCUCCAUCUGCUAUCUAUAUGGGAUCAGGGUAUAUAGUGGUUAUACACCUCUCCUCCCAACUCUAUCUGUAUACUGCUGCUGCUAUCUCUAUUGGAUCGGAAUAUAUGGAGUUCCCCUUUAACCAAGCAAGAAACUCUUCCAGAUGACACUCUACUCUUCUGAAUGACAUUCUGGUUUGGCUAAUAAUCCCCAGUCAUGUUCAUUGAGCAUUGACUUGCUCGGACACUACCUCCAACAGGACAGAGAACAUUUCUUAAUACAGCUGCCUAGAGAGAAGGUUAGAACUCUGAAUGUGUCACCCAGUGAUCGUAAGGGGAAUUGCAGCAUGUCAACGGUUUAUUUGCAUAGUGGAUAACAUAUUUUAUUUGUAUCCUGAGAAAUCGGAGUCCUUUACAGACAUUAUUAAAACGA